AUGGCGUUCGCCGACGAGUACCAGGGCGUGGAGGCCCACGGCAACACCAAGUUGCACGUCAUCCACACCAAUGACAAGAAGCAGGUGGCGAUCACCCUCGCAAAACCCGCCCUCUGCCAACUCUCCAUCGGCAAGAAACACCCGGUGCUGCUCUUCCAACUGAGCGCCGCUGAAAGGUGCAUCGUCUUCGACAACUUCCUCGCCGACCCCAGGUACACCUUUGCAGGCUUCUCCAUCGACGGCGACAAAAAAAGGCUAGAGCGCGUCAAUCUGGAGGUCGCCAACUUCGUCGACAUCCAGAAGGAGUGGAGGGUGCCCGAAGCAACCAAGGAGUUGGACUCCCUUGGAGACGUCUCCGGCAUGCUCAUCGACGACUACUACAACAACAUGAAGAAGAAGAUCACCGACGACGAGCACAAGCGUUGGGCCACCCUGCCUCUGUCCAUGAGGCACAUCGAGUACGCGGCAAAGGACGCCUACGCAGCGUACGAGAUAUGGAACCGCAUCACCCUCACCCAGGACGGGCUUCGCCGUGCAAAGCUGGAGAAAGAGGAGCCCCCAAGAAGCGCACUAGGAGCAGCUGGGGAUGGGGAGACGCUAACUGGUGAAGACGAAGAUGGUGCCGGCCAAAGAGGCACCAAUGCCAGCGUCGUUUUAGAAUUAUCAUCAAAUUUGCUUUAG
rnacentral:rRNA from 1 species